rnacentral:lncRNA from 1 species
CUGUAGUGCCGCCGCUUGCACUGCCACCAUCUGCAGAAUCACCUCCUGCAGUAACACAACCUGCAGUGUCGUCGUCUACUGAUUACCGAAGGAAAAUUUUGUUGCUUUUCAAGCAUCCGCUACACUUUUGCCGCCUGCACUUCGCCCACAUGGAGCCAUGCACUUGUCACUUCCAACUUCUGAGCAUGAUUUUAUUUUUAAUUUACGACAUGUCUGCGGUGCGAUUAAAACUAGCAUAAUGCCUGGCAAUGGUUUGCAUCGUGGACGCCAUUUGCUGUUUCCAAGUCAAUAAUAAUUCAAACUACAUUCCAGAUGGGGUGUUCGCAGCAAAUGUGCAAGUUGAUUUUGUAUUCAUUCAGAUUGGUAUUAAUUUUCUCAUUAUUCUUGGCCUAUAACGUCGCUGAAUAUCAAUGGUGGAUUACACUCGUGUUGUAUCCCUAGCGUAGCACAAAUUGCUUCUCACCGUCCCACUGUUUCUGGGAGCUGCCAGAACUCAGUCUGGUGCAUUGGGAAAUGUAAAUAACCACAGGAAUAUGGAUGGCUGUAUGCUUAACAGCAUACUCUUGCUCACGAGAUCCUCGGAAUGUGUAUAAUCAGUAGCCAAAGGCUCUUCUUUACAUCGCUCCUUGCGGACAUUCGGGAGUGAUGGAAUCUUAAUUCUUCAAUCUAAUUACAAAUAUCACGCUUAGAAUAACGCUUUCCUCGUUCCUGUCACAACAAAACUAACCUUUACCAUCUCCGAUGCCUCCUUAUACUUUUUAUCAUCGCUUUAUUACAUACCUGAAAUUUUUAAACUUAAUGUUGGACAUAUCGCUCGACAGUGCGCCAGGUUCAGAUAACGAAUAGAACACCUUCUCCAAUGGGGUUCAGUUUAGCUCUUUCCGAUUAUUUCAUUGUCUUCAAGGUUCAACUUGAAGCAUGAGGAUACGACUUGUCAUUGUCGUCAACCUGUCGAUAGAUUUUAAAGUUGUGAAAUUUCAUUCUAUAUUUAUACUAAUGUGUAACAAAAGAGCUUGAAUUUGCUAUUGAAAUACCGGCCUUAUAGGUGUUUGAAAUAGAAGUACAGAUUGCUGCAUGUUGUCUGUGUGUCGACUGUAGGCGUAAUACGGUUCAUGUUAUCGAGAUGUAUACCUACAUUAUCGAGAUGUAUACCCACAUUCAAUAUUUCAAACGUAAGCCGGCAAAUGAACGCGGUACAUGGACUUGGAGGUCUUGUCCGACAUAUUAACUCCUACUGUGACUUCUAGCUGCGAAUUCCUUCACUUCUUUGGUGUUUCAGAGCGGAUUUCAGAGUAAGUGCUACGAAUCACUUCAAGAUCAUCUUGUUAACUCGGCUAUCAUUGAUAAAUUCAAGCUGGCAGUGUACCUAUAAAUUUUGCGCGUUGCGUGUAACAAACCCUGCCAUAACGGUAUUUAUUGCUUGUGUUACAUUAUUCACAAUAAAUAAAUUCUACCGGGUCUAAAGAUACUCUUUGGGUGCUGCAGCAAAACGAAUAACCUACUAGCCCGUAAACUCAUGGUGCGGCACUGUUUAUACAUUUGUAAAUUCAUCUUAUGUUAUGAUAGAUUUUACUCCUAGAUCUAUAGUGAAGGUUGAGUUCACUAUGUGUAACGGUUGCAUUUGGAAUUAGCCUUUGCUUCCUUAAUGGAGACAUUUGGAAGUUGCAUUUGGGACCUUUUGCGUAAGAAUAUAGUUACUGUAUGCUUUAUUCAUGCUAAGGCUAUCUAGUUAUGAUGUGCUUCUGUACCUUUAAUUGCGCAUUUAUCUCUACGUUGGAAAUGAUUGCAUUUAGUACAUACCAACUGCAUUUAUUACUCUAAGAACAUUAUUUAUGUUUACUUUAGGCGCUAAUUCCAAUGAUCUCUUUAGCCUUAGAUUGACAAGUUAGCUUGGAUCGUACAUUAAACUUCAUGACACGAGAGCUCACUGCAUUAAAAAAAUUCAGAUAUUGAUUGGACAUUUCAAUCACAAGAAGUAUUUUAAAAUUAUAAUUUUUAGGUGACUUACCUCAGCACAAAUAAUUUUAACAUCACUAAAUCAUUCAAUCUAUUUCUAAUUCAUGGAUGGUUUCAAGUACCAUCAAUCUAGCAGGGUAAUGGUUGGCCGCAUCUAAUUCAAUAAUACUUCCAAAGUUUGUUACUCUAUUAAAACCUUACAUGAAGUUUCGAGAUGCUUUCAAAGACGAUUUUCCUUCACUACGAGGUUCUAAGAGUGAUUAUUCUGAAAUUCAACAUUUCUUUCUAAUAAAACUGAUGUAUAUAUGUUAAUGAAUACUUUUAACAGUAGCUAACUUUGAACUCACCCUUUACAUUAACUACGCAAGAUUCGAAGUUCAAUUGGCAAUCUAGGAAACAAUUGACUAAGCGUUCAUCAAAACGUAAGGCAUUUUUCAAAGAUUGUAGAUCCAACUGGCAAUUGCAAAGUGUACAUUGUACAGUGCUAAAAACUUCUUAUCUAUUUCUAUUGUAAUAUCUAAGGUAUAGCUUUAAGAAAAAAUCAUUUAUCUGCAGAUUGAUCAACAUUAGGCGAAAAUGCAUCCUAUGAGUCAAAUUUGCAUGUCCCAUCCGCUUCACUUACUGCAGGCUUGUGUCUCUUGUGUUCUAAAAUUAUAUGUUUAGUUUUUAAAGCUUGUUUCACAAUUGAAAAGAAACGAUAUUACUAUGGAUCCGAAUGAAACGAUCUCGGGACAUUCCAUCUAGUCAUUGAUGUUGUAUAAUAAUCAAAGAUAAGAGCUUUACUUUGUUAGUAGUGAAGCUCUGAAUAUGGCAUUUUCUAUAACGGUUCAAUUUAAUAAAAGUGAAAUUUCGGUAAUCGCGAUGUUUCAUAAAAAGUCCUCGUAUUUCUGCAGAAAUUAUUUUAUGCCUUAUCAUCUGUCAGGGAUUAUCUGUCAAACGAGCGACCGUUUCAUCGGUGAUUCCCACAGACUUUAUUCAAAUUAAAAAAAAAUUCAACGGCGCUGAGAUCUGCCGAGUCCUUCUUUCAAUUAAUACCUUAACGAUAAAAUAAUCUGAAUUUAUCUGGGUAUCCUGGGAUCUUUUUAUGGAGGAUACAUUUUUUUCAUUGAUGAUUCAGUAACAUCUGUCGGGAUUCUUGUGGUUAGUCGCACGAUUAAAUUGCACUGAAAUAAUCUUGUGCCAAUUAUAUAACGCCGUGUCGGUUUGGAGUUAUUUGAUAUAUCUGACUUUUGAAAGAAUCCCAAAGAUACAAUUUAAUAUCCAGGCAAGAGACGUAGAAACAACGUUGAAUAUGAGUUGAUUGCGUUUGAACAGCUUUUCAUCAACGUUAUUUCAACGUUAGUUACCUGAUGGGUAAUAUCCACUUUUUAUGAGCGAAUUAUUUCAUGUAUGUCACCCAAGUUAUUGAUCUAGAUUGAUCGUAGCCUGCCAAAUACGAGACUUGAUUGCUUAUUUUACAAGCUAUAGCCGGUUAAUUUUGUGCCCUACUUAUAGCAUUGUAAGACACACUCAAACCUAAAUGUCAUCUCUAUAUUUACGGUUAAACUGGGCGGCCACCAUUUCUGUAGGCAGUGAGUGUUUAGAUGUAAACUUCUCACUGCUGAUGGAUCUUAGAAAUGGUAGGAACAUCACUGUAUCCUACGGAAUAUUAAUAGUGAUAUUGAUGUUCUUGUAUUUACAUUUAGUGAGCGAGUCUUCUACGUACUACAAAUAUUGCAAACAUUAUUGCGGAGUUGUGGAGUGUUUAUUUUGAUAGAUCUACUACUUUGUGUGGGAAAAAUGUCUAGUGUUGCCUACUCAAGUCACUUUUGAUGAAGUUUUUGUCCCAGUUGAGAGAUAGUGAAACUUUAGUUCAUUUAAUUGGAUAUGACAAUAAUAGAGUGAAUAUUUUAUUGUCGUCAUUCAAGUGUUUUUCGUUCAUUUUUGAUGUUCGUUGAUUGUUGGUGAAGAGUUUAUUGAAAGUGAAAGAACAUAUGAUGUCAAAGAAGAAGUGAACAUAGACAUACAUCAGCGCCGUGUUAGAAGAAAAGUGCUAUCGUUAUUAAAACAGUGAUAACUGCGUGAGAACUUGAGCCUGAGUACCGCCAUGAGUGGUGCGAAGAGACUCUCCCAAAAAUGCAGUGAUCGAGGCGCUUGGACGUCGAAAAAGUGAACUUUUUGCCCGUCUUUGCUGUAGGGCAGGUUAUCCUGCCGGUCUUUGCUGUAUCAAAGAGUAUAUGACGUCAAGUUGAGCUUGUUAAAUGACGGAAACGUCGAGUAUGCUUGUACAACUGUGUAAAAUUACUAGGUAGCGGCCUGCGCCAAACCUGUGUAAAAUUAUAUAGGUAGGAGUCGGCACCAAACCUGUGUAAAAUUACUCAGUAGGAGUCGGCGCCAAACCUGUGUAAAAUUACUCGGUAGAAGUCGCAGGAUCGCCACAGGAUCUUAUUACAUACAUCCUAUCCUCACGAGGACGUAGUUGCCCUAUUUAGCUAAGACUAGAAUUAGAUACGUAAACCACAACAUUUUAGUGACAAUUCUAGAAUAUCCUACAUCCAGUUUAUUGAUAGUAAGCCUAAACUGCUUUAUGAUAUACAUAUAUAUAUAUAUUUUUAAUGCUACCUUGCGGAAAAUGGGGGAGAGGUUCUGGUAAAUGAGCCUUUUGUGAGCAAAUAGAACCCUUCAGUAUUCAACUCCUACGUGACAUUUGAAAUAAAUGCCACUUGUUCUUUAACCAAUUUUUUACUUCUAUUAACCUCAAAUGAGCGCUCCGGCAUUGAACGUUAAGUUGGUCUGAACAUUUCUCCUCAUAUCCAACUCUCUCCCAUUUGGAAUUUCCCGCAAUAAAUAUUAUGGUAAUAUUAUACGGUAGCUCUGAUACAUACCUAAGAGUAAACGUUAAGAAGCUCCAGGAACAUUGUAAAGGGUUUGCUAGUUAUAUCCUCAGAGUGCAUUCUUUGACUGAUGCCAACUGGAGGGAGGGGUGGUGCAAUGAUUUUUCAUUAUAUUUACGUGCAUAUUUGCUCUCCCUGUAUGGAGAAUGACCAACUGCUCUUUAAUUGAUCAGUAUAACUGUGGUUCAUGAUCACUGUUAUUAUCUCAUUUAAAUUGAUCAUCGUCGUCCAAUACGCGUCACAUUGUAAAGUUUGUAGGUACUGUUAUUGGCCCCCUUCUACGCCAGCCAAUGUUUCAAGUCGCGCGUCUUCGGAUUAACUCGAGUUAUGGUUGAAGUUUGACCGCUGUUUGGGUCAACUUCUGACUGGGAUUUCUGAAAUUUUGACUUUACGCCGGAAACUCUUUUCAUCAAUAUGGGUACAUAUUCGGCUAGGAAUUUUAUGAACGAUAGGGUGCAUAUCUAAUGUGUGCCAAAAUUGUCAAUGUCUUUUGAUACUGAUUAUUCUUUUAACUCAUCAGCCAUAGUAAUUUCACGAAAUGUUUAAAAUUGCACUGCCCUUUGAUAUUUUUGGGCUUUGAGUUUCACUUUGAAGUUUCGAUUCAGUUCCACGAAAUCAAAAUAAUUUCAUAAAAUCUUCAUCCAGCUACUUUCUUCCUGAAAUUGUGAUUUUUUUUUGCAUUGAAGAAGUUCACAGCCAAUAGGAAGAUUUUGUCUGAAUUUUAUGAUGAGUUUUUGCCUGGUAUUUUUCUACCAUUCCUGAACCAUAAUAAUUUUCAAAUUGCCUUCAAAAUUUGUUCUAACGUAGUGCAACUUGCAUGUGAAAUCUUUCGCAAGUAAGUUCUUGACCAAUAAUAAGAAUUUUAACCUCUUGUUCAUUAGGUAAAUAAUCACUAUUCCUGCAACUAAUUUAACAGGAUGAUAGUUUAAUCAGAUUUUCAACACCCUUGCCUCUAGUAUCUCCUGUUUUAAUUUGCAUUUAAUAAAUUUUUUUGUACCAUCUUCGAACUGAGUCGAGGUUUGGAUCCUUAUUGCAAAACCAAACAUAAUUCCCGUGAAAUUUAAUGGCGCUGAAAGGUUGAUUUUCGUUAUUAUUUAUUUUUUUAGUUGAUGGGUGUAGCUAGAUAUUCAAUCCGCCCUUCCCUUGGACUCAUGGGAGUGUGAGUCCAGUUCACUCCUCACAGUUAAUUAAUAAAUCUACCGUAAUAAUUAGCAGAACUCCAAUUAGUGUAUAGCUCUGUAACCAUUUAAUGAAUUAUAACAAUAUAGUAGUAUAAAUAAUGUAGUCCUUCAAAGACCCUCAUCAUAUCAUGUUACUCAACAGUCCUUUAUGGGUCUAAGGACUAAUUCGUACGAUCCUUGUUAUCAUGAAUACCUGUUUUUUCAAUAGUAUCUCGAUGUUUUUAUUUCCUAAAACUACUAAUAACAUUUCUCUUAAAACGUAUACUUUAUUGAUACGAAUCAGCACUACCUCCCCAUCCCUACUUUAAAUGAAAGUAUUUAGUAAGUUCUAAAGUUAUUUCUCAUAAUCUCUGUUUUGCUAUAUAACUUAUGAAAAUAUCAUAAGCCAUAUUUAGUAUUUCUUUUUGAAGGAGGUCUUUGUCUUUUGAUCCUGGGGCUCGUUGUUGUUGGUUCGGUGAUAGCGAUAAUUAUAUGUCUCAUCACUGACCUCCUCUUGCUGUACCGUUCCUCCUCCUUUGUUAUACAACUAUAAUGAAGAGGUUUCAUAUACGUAUUUCUCCUCCUUUGUUAUGCAACUAUAAUGAAGAGGUUUCAUAUACGUAUUUCUCCUCCUUUGUUAUACAACUAUAAGGGAGAGGUUUCAUGUACAUCUUACUUCUUAAUUCUUUGCAAUGAUCGGCGCUAAGUAUAGAGUUUCAUAUAGAGAUUUCUAAUCAAACUUUUCCCUUUGAAUCCUUGUUAGUUGAAAUUUUAUCAGAUCAUUUAUAGGGGUUCCUAGUCAUACCGCUGUCUUAAAGACAUUAAAUAUGUUUAACUAAUAAUAAUUUCAUUAAUAUAGUUCUCUAUUCACCGUGGGAGAUGAAGUCUCAUCUCAACUGACAAGAAUUGUUCGUAAAGUUGGGAGAGAUCGGGAGGGUAUCUACUGUGAUGGCGUGCAACUUCCCUUAUUUAUUCCGUGGUUUAUUUGAUGAUAUCAAUGAAUUGAACAACAUGUUGAGAUCUACGCACAUAACUGCAUAGCUGACUCUGAACUGUGCACGUCAUUGCACUGCCGACUCUGAACUGCACACCUCAUUGCACUACCUACUCUGAACUACACACAUCAUUGCACUACCUACUCUGAACUACACACAUCAUUGCACUGCCAACUCUGAACUGUACACACUGCACUGCCGACUCUGAACUGCACAUAUAAUUUCAUAGCCGACUCUGAUCAAUACACAUCAUUGCACUCCCGACUCUGAACUGCACAUAUCAUUGUAUAGGCGACUCUGAACUACACGCAUCAUUGAAUAGCCGUCUCGUCUCUGAACUGCUCACGUAAUGGCACAGACGACUCUGAAGUGAAAAUACUCCUACAUAACCAACUAUGACCUGCACAAACUAUUGCAUGAACAACUCUGAAUUACAUACACAGUUUCACCACCAAAUCGGAACUACACACAUCUCUACACAAGUAACUGUGAACUGUAGUCACCAUUGUAAACUGUACAGCCAAUAGUAAACCAAAACUUGCAUUGCAAUUAUGGUAAAACAUGUACUACAGUUCAAACAAGGACCUUCUUUUCAUAGUAAUAUGAUGAAAUUUCUGAUUAUGCGACUGCCUAAUAAAGUCACUUAAUUAAGUUGUGUGGUUUCGCCAAUUUUCACGUUCCAGGAAUCAGUAACCGCGGAUUUUUGCUGAACUGAAAAUGUCAUACUACGUUGCACGUCAACUUUUCUGUGCUGAUUUCCAUUCGUUGCUCCUACAAUAAAACCUUGAAUAACUCCCACGUUAAAACUCGUGUUCCGUUUCAUACAAUGUGUUGCUAAGUAGUCACCUCGGCCUGUCUGUAGUCUACCCUCGUCCUCAAAAAAAAACUAGCUAUUUGAUAGCUGAACGAUCUUUUUCCUUCCAAAAACUUUAUAUUAAUAAUAUAUUAACUAGCAUGUAAUGUAGAAAGAGCGGUCUUUUUUCGAAUUAGCUAGCAGCAUAAUUUGUAUCUAAUUUUUGCCAUAAGUAAUCUGUAAGGAUUGCAUUUAAAGGUGGAUAUGGAUGAUCCAGCGGUCUAGAACGGGAACUUGGUACAUGGAGUUUAAAUUAAUGCGAGGAUUGGAUUAUUAAAAUAUUUCAAGUGGUUAAAAUUUAUGAAAAGUAAAUUGUUCUCAGUAAAAUCUGCUUAUUCACAGCUAAAUAAACCUCUGAACCGUCUUCAUGGAUCAAAUGUUGAGUGCACAAAUUUUCGUUGAGGGAUAACUCGAGUUUCCGAAUUUGUUCCGUGGUAAUAUACGACUGAAUAUCGUGCGUCCGGACGCGAAUGUGGGUGCGGAAUCGAUGUUUGUCGCUAAUUUCUUGGUCCGGGAAAGCAUUCGGUCGGCUACAGCGUGCCAUGAGGCACUACAGGAUUAUUUGUAAUGAAAUAAUGAGCAUCUUA